rnacentral:lncRNA from 1 species
UUGCCUGAUUCGCUGAUUACAAAUCUCAACUUAGGUUUUAUCUCUUUAUCACAACCUAUCAAUAAUCAGAUCAUUCGUUCGAUUAGAACAAUAUAUCAUAACACAUAGUACUGUCUAUUACAGUCAGCACAUAGUCUAAUCACGUCAUCACAUAAUCGCAGUGAUCAUACUUUUAGUUCAUAUUCUAUACUUGAAAUAUUUUUAUACAUUUUUCAAAUAUCUCAUCCAUGCUCUUACAGAAGUCUUUUCUUUCUAUUAUAGGGUCUGACAUUUGUCGGCGUACCGACAGCUUUAUCGGGUAAAUACUGAGUCUAAGACUCUUAUCCUAUACCUCAACAUCUGUAAAUAUCAAACAUUUUAUUUUUAAUCAUUUUCGAAUUUUCCAGAAAUUGAAAAAUUUAAAAUAAUUCAAAUCUGUCACUACCGGGCCUAUAGUGAUAUAACUGUUACUAUAGGUGUUCCUCAAAACUUCAUAACUUCAUAAUCGGUUCUCAAGUCAGCUAGUUUGGCCGGCUAUAACUUUCAAACAUCGGAAUCAUAAUUAAAUGAUUUAAACAUUAAACAAUUCCAUUAUCAUUAAUAAUUAAUUUAUAUUAAACUAUUAAUGAAACCAUUGCCAAAAUAUAAAAGUUAUUUAUAAUAACUCAAACUAUUUUUAAAACAUUUAUAUUACCCUUAAAUGAUUUUUAAAACAAUUAAAAUCAUUUUUAAAUAAUCACCAUUAAUAUAUAAAUAUUAAUGUACUAUUCAUCCAAAUAUUAAAAGUCAUUAAUUAUAACUUAAAAUAUUUUUAAAUCCUUAAUAUCCUCUUUAAAUGAUUUUUAAAUAAAUAAAACCAUUUUUAAACUAUUUAUUUAAUAAUAAUUAUUAAAUAAACUAAAUAUCAUUAAUAUUAUCUUAAUAUCAUUAAUAUUAAAUUAUUAAUGAAAUUAUCCUUUAAAUAUUAAAAGUUAUAUUUUAUAACUUAAAAUAUUUUUAAAUACCUUAAUUUCAUUUAAAAUGAUUUUUAUAAUAUUAAAAUCAUUUUUAAACUAAAUUAUUUAAUAUAAUCAUUAAAUAACUUUAAUAUCAUUAAUAUAUAAUUAAUUAAUGAAAUUCAUCACAAAAUAUUAAAAGUCAUGGAAAAUAACUUAAAAUAUUUUCUUAUACCAUAAAAUAAUUUUUCAUGAUUUUUCAUGAAUUAAAACUAUUUUUAAAUCAUUUAUUUAAUAUUAUAAUUAAAUAAAUAAAUACCUUUUAUAUUCCAAAAAUAUUAAAUAUUUAUGAAAUAUACUCAAAAUAAUUAAAAACUAUUUUUCGGACUUUAAAAUAAUUUUUUAGAAUUUAAUAAGUAUUUUUAAUAAUUAAAAUCUAAUUUUUCUAAUUUUUAAAUCAUUUUCGGAAAUUACAGAAAAUAAAAUAAAUAAAAUCCGUCGCUAAAGGCUAUAGCGACAGACAACCGUCGCUAUAGGUGUUCUUCAUCUCAAGAACACUGUCAGAGACAGUUCAAGGGGGCUACUUUGACCAUGAAUAACUUUUUGGUCUUAAUGAAUCUGGGAAAUCUAUGAAUUGGGACUUGGAGAGGAACUACCAGACUACAAUUAUCAACAUUUAUAAACUCUAAAAAACAUCAGAUCUGGGAGAAAUCGUACCUCAAAGUAGCUGUCAGAGCUGUUCUUCGUGAAGAACAGUUCAUGAUGCCUACUUUGGACCUCUAUAACUUGACGAUCAUGCAACGUUUACGUGAUCUAUCAAUUCCAGUAUGUAGAAAACAUGUAGGACUACAACUCUAACACUUAAAAUCAUCAUAAAAACAAUAAAUCAAGCAUCAAAAGUAUGGUCAAACCUUAUCAAAAAAAACAACACUUAGAAAAUUCUGGGUUGCCCAGAAUUUUCCGGUCAAUGCCGGUCAACCCAUUUUGACCAUAAAUAACUCUUAAUCCAUAAUAUAUAUGGACCUGAUUCUUUUUGGAGAUUAAAUACCAUAUAACAAGAUACACAUAACAAGCUUUAGAACACAAAACACAUUAAAUAUAACCGAGAUAUAAGACCUGACAUUUGCCAAAAAAAUAUUUUCUGGACACUUAGAAUAUUUUCUGGGUUUGAAGAACAGCCGGUCAAUGCCGGUCAACCAACUUUGACCGCUUAUAAAUCCCGAUCUACAAUAUCUAUGAACUUGAUUCCUUUUGUAGAUUAAAUACCACAUAACAAGAUACACAAAAAAACUUUUAAAUAACAAAAAUCAUGAUCGACCAAAGAGUUUUAGCCUCUGACAUUUGGUGAAAAAUCACAGAACUCGGUUUUUCGAACUUGCUCAAAUCUUCAAAUUCGUGCACUUUGAUGUUAUGGGUCUGUGUUUUUACAACCCAGAACAUUAAUAGACUCCUUAUUACACAACUUUAAAUAAUCAAUUUCACCAAUUGACAUAGAAUCAAAGGAUUUCUAGAAUUUAGGGUUUCCUACCUUUUCAAGCUUGAUUUUUGAUUUCUGGCUUCUCGAUGCUUCUGAUUUGUGGUUUGUGAUGGCUGGGCUUUGAUUAUGAGCUUAUGGGCAAGGCAAAUUCGUUGGUAAGAGCUUGAGAGAGUGUGUCUAGAGAGUUGCUAUAAUUUUAGUGUGUAAUUUCAUUUAAUCUCCUUGAUUUCUAUUUAUAGAUCAUGUCAAGAGCCUUGGAUACUGAUUUGGCUGCCAUUAUUGAGCUCACAUGAUAAUUAUGGAGUGG